GAUUCUGGGGGUCACGGGGCCACCCCCUCUGCUCUGGGAUUUCAGGGGGGGAGCUCUGGAGGUGGCUGAGCUGCUACACCUGCGGGCUGGUGUGCAUCGCCUGCGUCCUGGACGGCGCCGCCGGCGUCCUCUGGAUGUGGGAGGAAGGUCAGAGGGGCUGGGGGGGUUGGGAGGGAGCGGGGACAGACCCCGUGGGAGAUGGAGAGCCCAGAGAGGGAGGCGGAGAGGGACAGGGGGGUCACACCAGGGGAUGUGGGGGACAGACCCAUCAGAGCAGUGCAGGAUCCACGUGUGACCCCAGGUGUGACCCCAAUGUGUGACCCCCACGUGUGACACCACGAGUGACCCCAAUGUGUGACCCCAAUGUGUGACCCCAGUGUGUGACCCCAAUGUGUGACCCCCACGUGUGACCCCAGGUGUGACCCCAGGUGUGACCCUAAUGUGUGACCCCAAUGUGUGACCCCCACCUGUGACCCCACGAGUGACCCCAGGUGUGACCCCAAUGUGUGACCCCACGCGUGACCCCAAUGUGUGACCCCAGGUGUGACCCCAGGUGUGACCCCACGCGUGACCGCAGUGGGCUCUCUGCCUUGUCCCUUUGUCUCUCAGGCCCGUCUGUGGCUGUCAUCCUGCCUGAGAUCACCCUGAGCUACCUCACCGUGGUCACCUUCCUGGUCGCCACCACGGUGCUUUUCCAGCCUGCAGAUUUCAGCCACCUGAAGAGCAAAAAAGGUGAGGGGUCCGUCCCUUCCGGGAUGGACCAAACCGCCCCCCAGGGCCGGAUCAGCCCCCCUGUUUGUGCAGGGAGAGCGGCAGCGCCGGGGGUGCCCGGGCGGUGCCCGCACCGUGCCCGGACCGUGCCCCCUCCCGCAGCACACCGCACCAUGGGCUACGCCGCCCCCGGCGCCGUGCUGGCCGUGCUGCUCAGCAGCUGCUUCCUCAUCCGGAGCGUCUACCAGCGCCACGAAGGAGGAUGCACAAAGUUCAUGGAUGUGACUGUCCUGGUGGCCAGCACGGCGGCUGUGGUGGCCCUGCCCCUCCUCGUGGGGGGGGGGGGGGGGGGGGGGGGGGGGGGGGGGGGGGGGGGGGGGGGGGGGGGGGGGGGGGGGGGGGGGGGGGGGGGGGGGGGGGGGGGCCCUGCCCCUCCUCGUCAUCGGCCUCUGCUGUGAGUCUGCUCCUCCUGCUCCUCCUGCUCCUCCUGCUCCUCCUCCUCCUCUUCCUCGGGGGCCCCACAGCACCCAGCAGCCACAGGAGCCAUUGCAAAGUGCUUCCUUUGGGUUCUGUGAAGCCCCCAUGGCUCCCACUGACUGUUUGCCUCCCCUGGGAAGCUCCAGGAACUGUAUCCUAAACCCAUCACCCCAGGAACUGUAUCCCAAAUCCAUCACCCCAGGGGCUGUAUCCCAAAUCCAUCACCCCAGGAACUGUAUCCCAAACCCACCACCCCAAGGGCUGUAUCCCAAAUCCACCACCCCAGGGGCUGUAUCCCAAAUCCACCACCCCAAGGGCUGUAUCCCAAAUCCACCACCCCAGGGGCUGUAUCCCAAAUCCACCACCCCAAGGGCUGUAUCCCAAAUCCACCACCCCAGGGGCUGUAUCCCAAAUCCACCACCCCAAGGGCUGUAUCCCAAAUCCACCACCCCAGGGGCUG
rnacentral:lncRNA from 12 species